CCAUAUCUUAUUCCCAUUCACUAACAGAUAAACAUAUUACAAAUACCAUAUCAAUAUGUUACAUUAUUUUAAGAGUUGUCUACUAUAUAGGGUUAGAACUUAAGUUUUUCCAGUAUCUAUAUUAUCUCCUUUAGGAAUAGCACCUCUAUCACCAUUAUUGUUAUUGAAUUCCUGCCUACUCAUAUGAUGAUGGUUAUCCAUAGUUCUGGUACCUCCUGUAGGCUGCUGCUCGUUAUUCUCACUGCUACUUGUAGCCAGGCACGAACUCAUCACCAUAAUAACUAACACAAGAACAUCGAGUCUCAU
rnacentral:lncRNA from 1 species